rnacentral:rRNA from 1 species
UGCGUAGGUGGUUUUAUAAGUCAGCGGUGAAAGUUUGCAGCUUAACUGUAAAAAUGCCGUUGAAACUGUAAGACUUGAGUGUAAAUGAGGUAGGCGGAAUGCGUGGUGUAGCGGUGAAAUGCAUAGAUAUCACGCAGAACUCCGAUUGCGAAGGCAGCUUACUAAGCUACAACUGACACUGAAGCACGAAAGCUGGGGAUCAAACA